GUUAUUUAAAGAUUUCUAAUUUCCUCCCAUAGCCUCGAUGCUCUUCUUUUGCAGAUGUUGAUUUUUGAGUUAAUAUUUGCGUUUACAGUAUCCUUAUGCCUCACUUUUCUCAUUUAUGCCCCUACUGUUCUUGUACUUUUUAAGCACAUUUCUUAAGAAAAAUUUCGAUCAGAAUUUGCGAAUAUGAUUAGUGGCCGGCUUGCAUCUUUUCUGCACUACAUAAAUGUUGAAGCUGAGAGGUCUGAGGAAGGGCCAUUGUCCUUCCUUACCAUACAAUCAGCUUUAUAAUGUUUGGAUGACAUUAAAAAUUUCAUGAAUGGUGCUAGAUUCCUUGUUAGUGAAUUGUUACAAAAUCCAGAAGACCUAUAAGAGAUGGAUUAACACCUGUCCUCAUUUAGGGGUUGAUGUUUCGCAGUAUGUGGGCUUAAGUUGUAAGCCCAGUUGGAGGUCGCUAUGUCUUUGCAGCUGUUUAGGUUAUGGCUUUUAUAACUGACAGCUUCAGCUUAAACUGAAAAAAAAGGAAGCAUUGUGCAGCAGUACUACGAAUUGCGACUCACUUUUAAGUUUUAACAAUGUAACAUAGGGAAACCUGCUCUCUUGGUUCAUGCCAGGGGACAGCCUUCAUAUAAACUUCAGAUGAAAGGGAAAUGCAUCAAAGCUUUCAAUAAGGAACUGCAGUUCAAAAGCUGGGUAUGUUGCAACCUCUGUUGAGCGAACAAGACAGGAAGAAGAGGAAGAUGCUGCAAGAAGAAUGGGUUGCCAAAUGGAAGAAAACGCACGAGGAAGACAGAACUGAGGAUACAGCUUAGAGAUGGAGAGGCGAGCAAUGAAGAGGAAGAGUAUGAAGCUAAAGAAGUGGAAGUUGAGGAGGUUUUGGAGGUUCAAGAGGAAGUCAGA